rnacentral:rRNA from 1 species
AGCAUUCUCUGGUGUUGAAGGCCCUGCAAAGCAGCAUCGCGGUGGCGGAGCGUCGUUUGCGACGCCCAACACACAAAACAAGCGGUGAGUGCUUUGGGGUGGGGUGACUGCGUACCUUUUGUAUAAUGGGUCAGCGACUUAUAUUCUGUAGCAAGGUUAACCGAAUAGGGGAGCCGGAGGGAAACCGAGUCUUAAUUGGGCGUUAAGUUGCAGGGUAUAGACCCGAAACCCGGUGAUCUAGCCAUGGGCAGGUUGAAGGUUGGGUAACACUAACUGGAGGACCGAACCGACUAAUGUUGAAAAAUUAGCGGAUGACCUGUGGCUGGGGGUGAAAGGCCAAUCAAACCGGGAGAUAGCUGGUUCUCCCCGAAAGCUAUUUAGGUAGCGCCUCGUGAAUUCAUCUCCGGGGGUAGAGCACUGUUUCGGCUAGGGGGCCAUCCCGGCUUACCAACCCGAUGCAAACUGCGAAUACCGGAGAAUGUUAUCACGGGAGACACACGGCGGGUGCUAACGUCCGUCGUGAAGAGGGAAACAACCCAGACCGCCAGCUAAGGUCCCAAAGUCAUGGUUAAGUGGGAAACGAUGUGGGAAGGCCCAGACAGCCAGGAUGUUGGCUUAGAAGCAGCCAUCAUUUAAAGAAAGCGUAAUAGCUCACUGGUCGAGUCGGCCUGCGCGGAAGAUGUAACGGGGCUAAACCAUGCACCGAAGCUGCGGCAGCGAACGUAUCACUUAAAGCGAUUCAGCGGGUUACGAUUGACGGAGCGAAGCGACGUCAAAGCGUAUACAAAGUCGAGUCGGUUUAAGGAUACGUUCGUUGGGUAGGGGAGC